rnacentral:rRNA from 1 species
UACGAAGGGGGCUAGCGUUGCUCGGAAUGACUGGGCGUAAAGGGCGCGUAGGCGGAUGAUAAAGUCAGAUGUGAAAUUCCCGGGCUUAACCUGGGGGCUGCAUUUGAGACGCGUUGUCUAGAGUGAGGAAGAGGGUUGUGGAAUUCCCAGUGUAGAGGUGAAAUUCGUAGAUAUUGGGAAGAACACCGGUGGCGAAGGCGGCAACCUGGUCCUUGACUGACGCUGAGGCGCGAAGGCGUGGGGAGCGAACGGG